GAUGUGACUACAGUGGUUAAACCUUAAUGUUAUGAAGUGACAAGAAUACUUUUUGUGCGCAAAAACAAAACAAAAAUAACAACUUUAUUCAACAAAUUAAUCUCUUACGCUUCCAGGUUUUAUGUCAGAAUGCCAACUCAUUAUUGGCCUGGCUUUGUUUUUGUGCACAAAUUAUUCUCGUCGCUUCAUAAAAUUAGGGUUGAACCACUGCAGUCACGUCAACUGUUUUAGCAAUGUCUUUAGUACCUUUCUGGACCUUGAAAAUGUUGGUUAAAUUGCUAUGGAUGAGUUAGACACCUCAGAUUUCAUCAAAAAUAACUUAAUUUGUGUUCAGAAGAUGAACGAAGGUCUUACAGGUGUGGAACAAUAUGAGGGUGAAUAAUUAAUGACAUAAUUUUUAUUUUUAGGUGAACUAAAAAAAACACGUUUGCUAUGUUUUCCACAUAAGUUACUUUGUGUAAAUGUCCCUGCAGCCUUUGCAAAGUGUUUGCUCUCGUGCAACCUCUCACACACUGCCUCUGAGUUCCCAAAACAAUAAUGCUUACACCAAACAUUUCACGGAUCAGUGGCAAAGGUCGUUUUCCCCUUGAGCACCAGUUGAUCCAGUAAUGAACCAAGACCAAAUAUUAGACUACUGUAAAAACAAAAGGCGGAAAAAAAUAAAGUGGACAAGGUGUGGUCAAAGACUGACUUCUGAGAAUUUUAUGAUGGCAAUUUAAGGAUUGUCACAGCACUAUAAAAGGUCAUUAUUUGGCGAAGGACGGCCUUGUUCUUGGGACGUGUGGGUGCUUGUUGGGAGUUUUGUGACCUUGCUGAAAGAGUGGCAACAAACACUGCAGGUGUAGCUUGGGCUCAUCAAGUUUUCGCAUCAAAAGCGAGUGGACUUCACUUCAGCAACACCAGACAGCCAUGCCCUUACGACCGAGGGCUUCCUCUCAACCUGGAAGAGCGAACACCCUUCCAUCCCUUAAAAACAUCACACUUCUGCGCCCCAGAGCUUCGUCGUCUCACUCGAAGUCGCCUUUAGAGGAUGAGCUCUCUUGUCCGGUCUGCUGCGAGGUCUUCACCGACCCCGUGGUCCUGAAGUGCAGCCACAGUUUCUGCCGUGCCUGCCUUCAGCAGUUCUGGAACAGAAAGGCGGCCAAGAGGGAAUGUCCAGUUUGCAGGAGGAAGAGCUCUCUGACGGAGCCCACCGUGAGUCUGGCUCUGAAGAACGUGUGCGAUGCCAUCUUACAGGAGCAGAAAAGUCAAGGGUCUGCGAGAGCCGGCUCAGUUUUAGCCAACGGGACGCCCAAACCGGAGGCUCUUUGUGCUACUCACGGGGAGGGACUCAAAUUGUACUGCCAAAAUGAUGAAGAAGUUCUCUGCUGUGUUUGUCAAACGUCUAAGAAACAUCAAGGCCACAGUGUGUGUCCUUUGGAAGAGGCAGCAAACGAUCUCAAGGAGGAAAUGCGGCAGAUUGUCAUCCCACUUAAGAAAAGUCUUAGACGCCUCUAUGAGGCCAAACAAGAAUGUGAUGACAUAACCGUCCACAUCAAGAACCAAAGACAACAGACAGAGAAACAAAUUCAUGAGGAGUUUGCAGAGCUUCAACAAUUUCUUUUGAAGGAGGAAGCUGCUAGGAUUGCUCUUCUGGGAGAAGAAGAAGAGGCAAAGAAACAGACGAUGAAGAAAAAAACUGACAUAAUCACUCGUGAUAUACUCACGUUUUCUCAGGCUGUCAUGGCCAUUGAAAAUGAGAUUGCUAGUGACGACAGCCUCUUUUUACAGAACUACAAGAAUGUCAAGAUGAGAGCUCAGAUAACGUUUCACGAACCAGAAGCCGUCCCUGAAUCUCUAAUCGAUGUUGCGGAGCACAUCACCUCCCUGAAGUUCAGAGUGUGGGAAAAAAUGCAGAGUCUGGUGGAAUGCACUCCAGUGACGCUGGACCCCAACACAGCCUACCCCUGUUUGUCUCUAAGCAAGAAUCUAACGAGUGUGUCCAACACGGGGGUGAUAAAAGAGUUGCCUGAUAACCCUGAGCGCUUUGACCACUUUGUUUUUGUACUGGGCUCCAAGGGUUUCACCUCCGGAUGCCAUUCCUGGGAGGUGGAGGUGGGCCAAAAUAAUGACUGGGUAAUAGGUGUGGUUAAAGAAUCCAUAGCCAGGAAAGGCAAAAUCUCUGGCUGUCCAGAAGGAGGAUUCUGGACCAUCGCUCUCUCUGAUGGGAAGUACACGGCCAUGACCACCCCCCACACACCGCUCAAGCUGAAGGGACACCUGGAAAGGGUCCGGGUUAAGAUCGACUAUGAUGCUGGAGAGGUCAGCUUCUUUGACUCAGUGGACGUCACACCCAUCUACACAUUUAAUGACCACUUUACUGAGAGGAUGUUCCCUUUUUUCUGUCCGGGGGCAAAUAUAAAUGGGAACAAUCCAGGGCCGCUGAAGAUCUGCCCUGUGAGGGUGGCAGUAUGGAACAGUGCCUCCUGGUGACAGUUAGCUGUACGGCAGCUUUAUUUGUGUAUUUGUACUCCAGUUAUACAGCACCAGUCAAAGUGAAGUUCAUGAGGUGCAUUCUGGGAUGCAUAUUCACAUGUAUGCUUGAAACCAACUAAUCUAAAUUGUCCAUUUUGGGAAUCAAAAUAAAUUUUUAAUUUGAACCAUUUGUAGUUAAGCACAGUCAUGUCAUUUUCUUUUGCGUCAGAGCUGUCCAGUAAAUUACCUGUUGAGACUCAUUUUCUGAUGUAAUAGAAUCUCUUAUCUACACUCUUAAAAACAAAGGUUCUUUAUUGGCAUUGAUGGUUCCAUGAAGAAUCUUUAACUUCCAUGGAAUUCUUCCAUUGCACAAAAGGUUAUAUGUAGUGAAAAAAAAGGUGUCAGGGUUGGGUGAAGGGAUGAGAUGAGGAGGCUUUUUAUUUGUUAAUAAAAACAAAAACAAACAAUGGCGACAGGAAAAGGCUUAGCAGGGAUAGACACGAUUGGUAUAUACAAUGAUGACGCACUGGCACAGGACUGCAAACACAAAUAAAUAGGAGAGCAAAUAAAGCAGGUAACGAGUGAGGACAGAUAGGGCAAAUGAACCAAUAAUCAGAUAACAAGAAGGGCGGGGUUAGACAAUAAACAGGACAGCACAUGGCACAUAGAAACGCAUAUGACAAGCCAUGUGCUCACACCAAACAUAAAAACAAGAGCACGUGGUCAACAAACACAAUCAAAAACCAUGUGCUCAAACAAAACAAGACGCAAACAUGCAGCCAAUGCAAGCUCUCACCGACUGCGUGUCUACAUAGCACAAGAUAAGAAGAAAGCAGACAGCCAAUAUAAACAUGAACUGUGUGCUAAUCCAAACACAACACAUACACACAUAGAAGAGUGAACGGCCAAAGUUAGGUUGAAAUGACACACUUAACGGCUAGAUGAAACAUUCCAAGACUAAUUUGAACACACUAUAUGAUUUUGACUGUAAACACUGACUAAACGCAACUGGCACUGACUCAGUGCGUUUGGGCAUGAUCAGUCGUAAGUAUAAAAUUUGACUUUACAAUCUUUAAGUGUGUCCCUGACUUCAGGGCUCUGCCUCCAAACAAGAAUAAACCAGACCAAAGUGACAACAUUUUCUAUAGGUUUGUAAAAUGUUACAAAAAAACAUGGUUCUUUUAAGAACUGUUCACCGAAACAUUCUUUGGGGAACCAAAAUGAUUGUUUAUUUUGGAACCUUAUUUUUAAGAGUGUAUUAUCCUCACUGAGGCUAAUUAUGAUGACAGAUUUUCCUCCACUGUGGACUCAUGCUGGCAUCCCAGUUUAGGCUUUCACCCUUGUAUGCUGCAACAGUAAAGACAGACUCUUCAAAAUUUCUUGGAGAGACCGAGCAAAAAUAAGCAUGCCCACUCUUUAUAUAGUAGUUGUCAACCCAUGUUGAUUACGUUCAUGGCACAAACUGACCAAAACUGAUUUAUCAGUUACUUCUCAGAACUGAAGUCCCCAUUAUCAGUGUCCACCCAACAACGGCUAGCCUCAUAUUCUUAGCCAAAACACAUCACUUAUUUUUCUUCUAAAGUGUCUCUGCCACAUUAUACCCACAAUUCCCAAACAUGUCUUCAUAAAAGCAAAACAGAGUAAAAAAAGUAAAAUACAAAAUUUCCUGACCUGCAAAACUAAUUUUAAGCAUAAGACUUUAGAUCAACAGGUUUUGAAGCUCAUGAGAAAUGUAGUCAAAUGUGUGCAAACCAUUGGUUGGUAGUUUUAUGUAUUAUAUGUUUGUAUAAUUUACAGAUAUUUACAUUUACCUCCUAUAUAAAUGUCACUAUGUAACAAAAUGUCAAAUCAGAAAAGUCAUUUGUAUUUAUUGUGCUUUUCACAAUGCUACGUUUAAUUCAAGUCUUAUUAGCUUGGUAAACCCAGUAGAUGUAUGUAAUAAUUUAUGAAAUUGAAGGUUUUUUUUCAUCAAAAUGUAAAAUAAAUUAUUGUCUAUAAGGUAGAUCCCAUAUAGUUUGCUGAGGUGCAUGUAGUAGCAUAGAAAUGCUACCAGAAAAUACAACAUUAAAUACUAAAUAUGUGAAGUAUUGGUGUUUUUUUCCAAAAUGGUGAAUGACAAAUUAUAAAGUUUGGAAAAAAUGACAAUAUUGCAGUAUUGUUUGUUUAGUUAGUUUUAU